rnacentral:lncRNA from 1 species
GUGUGGGUUGUCCUGGGGAGCUACUGAGGUUAGGGAAGUGUCUCUGGGGCGAGUAAAGGAAUCUCUUCUGAAAACAUCUCAGGUGGCGAAGUUGUACUUUCCUUAUUUUUAACUCCUUCAAAAGUGAAAGUAAAGUGGAAUUCUGCAUAUUCCGCUUUAGGAUGGCAGUUUAAGAAUUAUUAGUAGCUGGGUGAGUGCGCACAGUCGCAGCCGCUGACGUACUUGAUAGUUUCAGGCCAGCAUGGGAAAGUAUGCACCAACUGUAAAUAGGAUUCACUGCUGGUCUGCUUCAGAGGAUUUCCUACUCUCGAAGUUCAUUCUAGAGGUUGACCAGAAUCAAAGAAAACUCCCAUGCAGGUGGGAUAGAGCCAGAGUUGAGUGA